UUGGAAAUGCAUUGCUUCUAAUGGGUCUG
rnacentral:piRNA from 1 species